CCUACAGGAGGCAGCAGUGAGGAAUAUUGGUCAAUGGACGCAAGUCUGAACCAGCCAUGCCGCGUGCAGGAAGACGGCUCUAUGAGUUGUAAACUGCUUUUGUACGAGGGUAAAUCCCGAUACGUGUAUCGGGUUGAAAGUACUGUACGAAUAAGGAUCGGCUAACUCCGUGCCAGCAGCCGCGGUAAUACGGAGGAUCCAAGCGUUAUCCGGAUUUAUUGGGUUUAAAGGGUGCGUAGGCGGAUUGAUAAGUUAGAGGUGAAAUGUCCGAGCUCAACUCGGGAACUGCCUCUAAUACUGUUGAUCUAGAGAGUAGAUGCGGUAGGCGGAAUGUAUGGUGUAGCGGUGAAAUGCUUAGAGAUCAUACAGAACACCGAUUGCGAAGGCAGCUUACCAAUCUAUAUCUGACGUUGAGGCACGAAAGCGUGGGGAGCAAACAGGAUUAGAUACCCCAGUAGUC
rnacentral:rRNA from 1 species